rnacentral:rRNA from 1 species
UACGUGAGGGUGCGAGCGUUAAUCGGAAUUACUGGGCGUAAAGCGUGCGCAGGCGGUUCGUUGUGUCGGCGGUGAAAGCCCCGGGCUUAACCUGGGAAUGGCCGUUGAAACUGGCGAACUGGAGUGUGGCAGAGGGGGGUGGAAUUCCGCGUGUAGCAGUGAAAUGCGUAGAGAUGCGGAGGAACACCGAUGGCGAAGGCAGCCCCCUGGGCUAACACUGACGCUCAGGCACGAAAGCGUGGGGAGCAAACAGG